rnacentral:lncRNA from 1 species
CCAAUUUCAAACCCCUCGUUUCACGAGAAGCAUCCUCAUCGUUCGUCACACGCUCCGCCGCCGAGCCACAAGAGAGAAAAACCUUCCAUGGACUCUGCUAUGUCGUCGGUGACAACAUCGACACUGACCAAAUCAUUCCCGCAGAGUUUCUCACUCUCGUCCCUUCGAAUCCAGAAGAAUACGAGAAACUCGGUUCCUACGCUCUAGUUGGUCUUCCAGCUUCUUACAAGGAACGAUUCGUCCAGCCAGGAGAGAUGAAGACGAAGUACUCAAUCAUCAUCGGCGGCGAAAACUUCGGAUGUGGAUCGUCACGUGAACAUGCUCCGGUUUGUUUAGGAGCAGCCGGAGCUAAAGCAGUGGUGGCUCAAUCUUAUGCUAGAAUCUUUUUCAGGAACUCUGUGGCUACAGGUGAGGUU